AUGGUGUUCUGUGGUCACUGUCAGGAUGACUGCCCGUAUGUAAAGGACCCAGACAACGGGAUCAUAUGUUGUGGAAUAUGCGGGAAGGUUCUUGAUCCGAACAUUUAUGAUGAUGGGCCUUCUUUUGUUAAGGACUCCUCGGGACAGAGCCGGCUACGUGGAUCAAUUAUUAAAGCAAUUGAGGAUGGAUGUUCAAUAUCCCGUGAAAGAACCGAAGCGAAAGGGAGAGAUGAGAUUUGGCAGAUUGUCCAUGGCCUGCAUGUGAGUGGUGGAGAUGAUAUCAUUUGCACUGCUCAUAACUUUUAUAAACUAGCUCUUGACAAUAGCUUCACUAAAGGACGCCAGACAAGUCAUGUUGCAGCUGCUUGUCUUUACAUUGCUUGCCGGCGAGGUGAAAAACCUUAUCUUCUUAUUGAUUUCUCGGACUAUUUGCAUAUAAGUGUUUAUGUCCUAGGUGCGGUUUUUCUGCAGCUUUGCCAAGUUUUGCUACUCGGAGAACACCCAAUUGUUCAAAAGCUUGUAGAUCCUAGCCUUUUCAUCCAUCGUUUUACCGAACGUUUACUGGGAAAAAGGAACAAUGCUGUCUCGGACACAGCUUUAUGCAUUGUAGCUAGCAUGAAGCGAGACUGGAUGCAGACUGGGAGGAAGCCAAGUGGUUUAUGUGGUGCAGCAUUAUACAUUGCCGCACUUUCUCAUGGAUAUGAUUACACCAAGGCAGAUAUUGCUGCUGUUGUGCAUGUCUGUGAGGCAACUCUAUUUAAGCGCUUGAUAGAGUUUGAAAGUACAGAUUCUGGUAGCUUAACGAUUGAAGAUUUUUUGGCCAAGGCUUAUGAAGAGACGGUUCCAAAAUGUUCAGCCAAGUAUGGAGAAGUCCUUUGCGAGCACAAGGAUAAGGGUGCUGAGCAUUUUUCUCAUGGACUUUGUGAGGAAUGCUAUGACAAUUUCACUGAACUUUCAGGUGGGCUGGAGGGUGGUGCUGACCCUCCAGCUUUCCAGCAAGCUGAAAAACACAGACAGGAUGCUGCUAAAAGAUCCAAGGAAACUGCCGUGGUCGAGGAAACAUUGUGUGAGUUAAAUAGUUCUGAUGUUGAGGAUAACAUCAUGACCCCUUGA
rnacentral:rRNA from 1 species